UACGUAGGGGCAAGCGUUGUCCGGAUUUAUUGGGCGUAAAGAGCGUGUAGGCGGUUUGGUAGGUCCGCUGUGAAAGCCCGGAGCUCAACUCCGGGUCUGCAGUCGAUACGGGCAGACUUGAGUGUUGCAGGGGAGACUGGAAUUCCUGGUGUAGCGGUGAAAUGCGCAGAUAUCAGGAGGAACACCGGUGGCGAAGGCGGGUCUCUGGGCAACAACUGACGCUGAGGAGCGAAAGCGUGGGGAGCGAAGCAGG
rnacentral:rRNA from 1 species